ACAUGCAAGUCGAGCGCGGGAAGCGAGCUGAUCCCCUUCGGGGGUGACGCUCGUGGAACGAGCGGCGGACGGGUGAGUAACACGUGGGUAACCUGCCUGUAAGAUCGGAAUAACUCCGGGAAACCGGAGCUAAUGCCGGGUAAUACUUUCUUUCGCAUGAAGGAAAGUUGAAAGAUGGCUUCUUGCUAUCACUUACAGAUGGACCCGCGGCGCAUUAGCUAGUUGGUGAGGUAACGGCUCACCAAGGCGACGAUGCGUAGCCGACCUGAGAGGGUGAUCGGCCACACUGGGACUGAGACACGGCCCAGACUCCUACGGGAGGCAGCAGUAGGGAAUCUUCCGCAAUGGACGAAAGUCUGACGGAGCAACGCCGCGUGAACGAUGAAGGUCUUCGGAUCGUAAAGUUCUGUUGUUAGGGAAGAACAAGUACCGUUCGAACAGGGCGGUACCUUGACGGUACCUAACGAGGAAGCCCCGGCUAACUACGUGCCAGCAGCCGCGGUAAUACGUAGGGGGCAAGCGUUGUCCGGAAUUAUUGGGCGUAAAGCGCUCGCAGGCGG
rnacentral:rRNA from 1 species